AAUUCCAGACAAUGAUAGAACUAUGUGUGUAAAGGACUACUGGUGUACAAUAAAAUAAAUAUUUGUACAGUAAAAAUUUGGAGAUUUCGCAAGUAAAAGCCCUAUAAUUAAAAUUUCAAAAACACAAUUUCUCCAUAUUUGAGCUGCAAUAAAAACUGAUUUCCCUAUAGUUCCAGUCCAAGAUCAAUGUACCUGUGUUAAGGACCUCUCUGACUACUGACAUGCUGAAUUUGAAACAUUUUUACUUUACAGAUUUGGAGAUAUCUGCAAAGUAAAAGCCCUAUUUUUUCAAGUUCAAAAACACCACUUCUCAAAGUUUGAACUGCAAUUAAAACAGAUUGAUCAAUAGUUCCAGACUGAGACUAAUGCACAUGUGUUAAGGACCUCUCUGACUACUACCAUGAUGAAUUUGAAACAUUUUUACUGUACAGUUUGACAGAUUUCACCAAAGCAAAAGCCCUAUAAUUGCACGUUCAAAAACACCUGUCACGAUCUGGCGCUCCCCAGAGUACUGAGGCCUUCAAUAUCUGGUCCCCAAACUCCCCCCCUGUUUACUGUGCAGUUGGUCUGUCCCGUUUUGUGUUGGUUUGUUCCACUGUGUGUCUGUCUGUUGUGCACGCCCACUCACCGGUGUCUGGUUCCCCAUCAAGCUGUUUGAACUGCAAUAAAAACAGGUUGAUCAAUAGUUCCAGACCAAGACCAAUGUACCUGUGUUAAGAACCUCUCUGACUACUAGCAUGAUAAAUAUCUAACAUUUUUACUGUACAGAUUUGGAGAUUUCACCAAAGUAAAAGCCCUAUAAUUGCAUGUUCAAAAAGAUCAUAUCUCAAAGUAUCUCAAGUUGAAAUGCAAUACAAACAGAUUGAUCAAUAAUUCCAGACAAAGACGUACAUUUAUCCGUACAACACUUUCAUGACAAUAAAUUCACUGACUAUUUUGUAUAUACAAGUUAAAGAUUCUCGAAAAUAAACAUUCGUCUAACAUUUAUACAUUCAUGGACAUCUUUGAUCUUAGUAAAAAAAUAAAUUGACCUUUUAGUAGGUUCUUUGACACAAUUAACAAACGUGAAUCCUAAUGUGGGGGGUCUAGAAGGAACAGACCUUGGCGGCAGAUUCUGGCUCUGGGGAUGGGGAACGUAACCUCUCUGGGGGGGAAGGAGCCGGAGCUUGUGCGGGAGGUGAAGCGUCAGUUGGAUCUGGUGGGGCUUACCUCUACGCACAGCCUCGGCUCUGGAACCACACUCCUGGAUAGGAGAUGGACUCUAUUCUACUCCGGGUGUGGGGAUACUCAAGUCCCCAGCUGAGUGCUGCUACAUUGGACUUUACCCCAGUGGACAAAAGGGUCACCUCCCUAUGCCUUCAGGUGGUGGAGGGGAAAGCUCUGACUAUUGUCUUUGCAUAUGUACCAAACAGCAGCUCAAAUUAUUCAGCCUUUUUGGAGACCCUGAAUGGAGUCCUGCAUGGGGCUCCAGUAGGGGACUC
ensembl:lncRNA